UACGUAGGUGGCGAGCGUUAUCCGGAUUUACUGGGUGUAAAGGGCGUGUAGGCGGGUCUGCAAGUCGGGUGUGAAAUAUCCGGGCUUAACCCGGGGAGGUCAUCCGAAACUGCAGAUCUUGAGUACUGGAGAGGAUAGUGGAAUUCCUAGUGUAGCGGUAAAAUGCGUAGAUAUUAGGAGGAACACCAGUGGCGAAGGCGGCUAUCUGGACAGUAACUGACGCUGAGGCGCGAAAGCGUGGGGAGCAAACAGG
rnacentral:rRNA from 1 species